rnacentral:tRNA from 1 species
UAGAGUUAAGCAUAUUUACUAUAAUACAAUGAUGCAAGAAAUUGUUAUUUUCUAGAAGAUUCACUCUAG